rnacentral:piRNA from 1 species
UGCCCAGGAGAGUUUUCUUGCUUGAUUGA